rnacentral:pre_miRNA from 1 species
GGAUUACUCCCUCCGUUCGGAAUUACUUGUCGCGGAAAUGAAUGUAUCUAGACGUAUUUUAGUUGUAGAUACAUCCAUUUUCGAGACAAGUAAUUUCGAACAGAGGGAGUACCUA